rnacentral:rRNA from 1 species
UACGAAGGGUGCAAGCGUUACUCGGAAUUACUGGGCGUAAAGCGUGCGUAGGUGGUUUGUUAAGUCUGUUGUGAAAGCCCCGGGCUCAACCUGGGAAUGGCAAUGGAUACUGGCAAGCUAGAGUGCGGUAGAGGGUAGUGGAAUUCCGCGUGUAGCAGUGAAAUGCGUAGAGAUGCGGAGGAACACCGAUGGCGAAGGCAGCCCCCUGGGUCGACACUGACGCUCAGGCACGAAAGCGUGGGGAGCAACAGG